AAGUCGUAACAAGGUUUCUGUAGGUGAACCUGCGGGAGGGAUCAUUAAGACGUAUCAAACUUUAACCCCCCUUUCAAUGCGCUCGCACGCUGAGGCAAUCCUGGUAAAUCAUCGCCGAGCAGUUUUGAUUCUGCUGGGACUUCUUCAAAGCGUGUGCAUGUUGCGCGAGGCAAGUGGCCUGGCAAUCCCAAACAGUUAAUGUCUGAAAGUGUCAUUAGCUAGGCGGGUCCCCGGGCGCAAGCCUUUAUCACCACUUGAUGCAUGACAGACAGCGCUUAAUUGUGCGGCGACCAAAAACCGAAUAACUGUUAACAAAGAAUAUCUUGAUUCUCU
rnacentral:misc_RNA from 1 species